rnacentral:tRNA from 2 species
GCCGAAGUGGCGGAAUGGCAGACGCAACGGUCUCAAAAACCGUCGAGGGCAACCUCGUGUGGGUUCGACUCCCACCUUCGGCACCA